rnacentral:rRNA from 1 species
AGAGUUUGAUCAUGGCUCAGAACGAACGCUGGCGGCAGGCUUAACACAUGCAAGUCGAACGCUCGUAGCAAUACGGGAGUGGCGGACGGGUGAGUAACGCGUGGGAACGUGCCCUGAGGUACGGAAUAACUGAGGGAAACUUCAGCUAAUACCGUAUGAGCCCCGAGAGGGGGAAAGAUUUAUCGCCUUGGGAGCGGCCCGCGUCGGAUUAGCUAGUUGGUGGGGUAACGGCCUACCAAGGCUUCGAUCCGUAGCCGGUCUGAGAGGACGAUCAGCCACACUGGGACUGAGACACGGCCCAGACUCCUACGGGAGGCAGCAGUGGGGAAUCUUGCGCAAUGGGGGCAACCCUGACGCAGCCAUGCCGCGUGAACGAUGAAGGCCUUAGGGUUGUAAAGUUCUUUUACCCGUGACGAUGAUGACGGUAACGGGGGAAUAAGCUCCGGCUAACUUCGUG